UGUGCCUUUAAAAACAGUCCAGAGAGGCUGGCAAGGUAAAACGAUAAGAAAAGUCGGGUAAUGCUGAAUCGAGAAUUCAGUAAGCUUACGGAUGUGCGCAUCCUACAGCCCCGCUCUAUCUCUUUAUGCACUCGUAAACUCCUUGCCAAGAAUUGGGCAAGGAGUUUUUUGGUU
rfam:Paenibacillus sp. Soil750 contig_15, whole genome shotgun sequence.